ensembl:lncRNA histone H3.v1-like
GAUUUCAUUUCAAAUGUCAUUUUAGCCAAAAAGAAGAACACGUGAUGUUCAAUAUAUGAAAACAAUAACAACAUAUGUUGUUUUAAAGAAGUUCUAAAUCUAAUAACACAUUCUUCAACUGUUCACUUUAAGAUUAAGAAAACCUUUAUUUGUUCCACAAUGGGAACUUUGUAAUCUACCAGCCAUCCACCUGUCAGCGUCCACAAACUCCACCCAAUAUGAUCGAUCUGAUGAUCAAUGAGCAGCUGAAGCCAGUGGUCACCUGGUGCUACAGGGGCCCGGUAAGCCCGCUGUAAUCCGCCUCCUCCUCCUGGGCUUCAGUAAAAGGAUUAAGAGCAGCACAGAACGCAGGAGACAAACCAGAGACAGCACACACUGAGGAAGAGGAGGAGGAAGAGGAGCAAGAGGAAGGCCGUUCUGGAGGACAGUCCUGAAUUUGAUCUGCAUGGACCAACAGGGAGCAGAGAGGGACCGUCAGGACCAGACUGUGGACCUGCUGCUCAGAUAAUCCAGCCUCACAUCCCUGGUGUUAGCACGGAGCACUUAGCCUGCUAAAAUUAGCCCGCUUCUACCAAGCCUGAGUGUAGGUUAACCUGCUGCAGCUGUGCCACAAACAUGAUGGACCCUGACCGAGAGGAAGAUGAAGUGCUGACAGACACCGAAGACCCCGUCCCUCUGAGAACAGACGAGGAAGAGGAGCAAGAAGAAGAGCAGGAGGAGGGGGAGGAGGAUGACGAGGAGGAAGAUGCUAGGAUCUUCAAUGCUUGGAUGCAGCAGUACAGAAGUGGGGAGCAGCAGAAGAAAGAUGGAGAACAGGGAGAGGAGGCACAGGAGCCAGAGGCAGAAAGACCAGCAAGCAGGAUCAGCUUAGAGCCACCGACCCACAUGAGAGCUCGCCGCCGGGCAUCACUGCCGAGUCCGGCUGCUCUCUCAGCCAUGCAGCUGUCUCGGCUCCACUCCUCCACCCAGGCUCCGGUCACUGCCAGGGUUUUGUUGCGACGCUCCUCCUCCCGCCGCCUCCUUCCCUCGCCGCAGGAGGCCACCGCCCCCACCCUCGAGCGAAGACCCUCCCUCAUACCCACAAUCCCCGAGGCGGCGCCCCCUGAGAGACGGGCCCAGUUCAGGAGACGCAACGUCAUGUCGCUGAGCGACGCAUACAGCACGUGUCUGAUCUGCCACAACGACCUGAACCAAGGGAGCGGCGGCACCAGAGAGCUGCAGUGCACACACACCUUCCACAAAGAGUGCAUAGAGGAGUGGUUGUGGAGGAAACAGUCCUGUCCGACCUGUCACGUCCACGUGUCCAUCCCACAGCCCGUCUACUGGAGCUCCACCCACGUCAAGGUGCCCUGACGGAGGAGGAAAUAACCACAGCGACC